UACGUAGGGGGCAAGCGUUGUCCGGAAUCAUUGGGCGUAAAGCGCGUGUAGGCGGCUUGGUAAGUCCGCUCUGAAAGCCCGGGGCUCAACCCCGGGAGGCGGGUGGAUACUGUCAAGCUCGAGUCCGGAAGAGGCGAGUGGAAUUCCUGGUGUAGCGGUGAAAUGCGCAGAUAUCAGGAGGAACACCAAUGGCGAAGGCAGCUCGCUGGGACGUGGACUGACGCUGAGUGAGCGAAAGCCAGGGGAGCAAAG
rnacentral:rRNA from 1 species